rnacentral:rRNA from 1 species
AACCCGACCCGGCGCGGAUCUAAAAUCUCUCUCUGCCAGCCACCACGCGCCUGCCCUACAGCCGCCACCGACGCCCCGUCCCCGCCCCCUCCCACGGUCGCCGCCGCCGUCGCCGUCGCCGUUCAUCUCCGCCCCGUCCGCGGUCUUUCCCCCCAUUGGGGUUCGAGGACCUGAGGUGCUUCUAGCUGGGAAGGAUGAGCAAAGGCCCGGUUCCGUUCCCUAGCUUUGGGAAGAAAGCAAAAGAUCUCUUGUACAAGGACUACAAUUUUGACCAAAAGUUUUCAUGGUCAACAACUAGCGAAUCUGGUUUGGGUAUCACAGCCUCUGGUGUGAAGUUCGAUGAACUCUUCAUUGGUGACAUACGGGUACAACAUAAAAGUGGUAGAAAUACUGUUGAUGUCACAAUCGAUUGCGAUUCCAAAGUGUCAACCGCGGUCACUUUUGAUGAAGUAGUCCCUGGUUUGAAGACUUCUUUCGGCUUCAAGGUUCCUGAUCAAAAGUCAGGGAAGCUCGAUUUGCAAUACCUUCAUGAUCGCUUCACACUGAAUUCAACCAUUGGCUUGACUUCGGCACCUGUGAUCGAGCUGGCAACAACUAUUGGCACAAACGAACUUGCUGUCGGUGCCGAGGUUGGAUUUGACAGCACUUCAGCUUCUGUUACCAAGUACAACUCAGGGGUCAGCUAUACCAAGGAUGAUUUUUCUGCCGCCUUACAAAUGGCUGACAAAGGCGAGACACUGAAAGCUUCCUACAUCCACCUGUUCAGCCCGACCAGCGCAGUGGCGGCCGAGGUAACGCACAGGUUGAAAACAAAGGAGAACUACUUCACCAUCGGGAGCUCCCACGCGCUCGACCCGUCCACGACGCUCAAGACGAGGUUCAGCAACAGCGGGAAGGCCGGGCUCCUCUGCCGGCACGAGUGGAGGCCCAAGUCGUACGUGACGCUCUCGGCCGAGUACGACCCCAAGGUGGUGAGCUCGCCGUCAAGGUUCGGCGUGGCCGUGGCCCUCAGCCCCUGAUCACCCGCCUGCCCGCCCGCAUCUCCUCCCUGUACAACAGCGCCAGCGUUAAGCACGCCGCUCCGCUCGUAUAUGUCCGAGCCAUACUCGCCGAUGAUUCUUUUUGGUCUCUCUCUCUUUUUGGGUUACAACAGUAUUGGUAUUGGCCCACGGAAACCUUGUCUAGGAGUUGGGCUCAUUUUUGCGGGAUUCCUCCGAUUAGCCUGCCUGCCGGCCGGCGAAGUAAGGGGCCGGGAACUGGAAAUAUACAGAGGUUUUGUACUAUUAGGCAUACGCUUUGGCCACUCCAGGCGAUGAAAUUGCUGACUUGCUGUCCGGGUUUGCUCGAAAAUCGCCGCGUCGACUGAGGGGGUCAUCUCAGGGUGAGUGAUUGUUAGUUUGAUAUCGUGGAUUUUAAGCCUGCAUUUCCCUGAUGUGUUGCUGUCAUGGCUCGUCUUUUCGCUGAAAGUGUGUUGAGAUUUUGGGUUUUGCCAUGUCCUGGAUGGCCUAUCUACCAAUGAUUUGUGUGGGGGUGGGGAUGCCUGCGUCUGCUUGUGGGCAUGGGCACCGUUCUCUUGGGGCUGGGUGGGCAUUGGCAUUGAGCAGUGACUAGUGAGGGACCGAGGACGAGAUCUCUCUUUCCCGUGGCAAAUCAUGGGUUCCCCGUGACUUGUCCUGUGUGUCACCUCACCUACUACCAAGGGUGGGGUGGGGUGCGUCGUCACUUGGCCCGGCGCUCUCCACGCUCCAGCGUCGCCCGCCCCUUUCUCCUCGCCCCCAACUCUAUCCGACCCAUCAUCACCCACUGACUAAAACCCCACACACUUCAAAGGUUUCAGCAGCACGAGGAAGGUGAUGGGGGCGGUGACAAUGGCGAGCAGCUUCCUCGUCCUCCGCCCGCGGGCGUCUUUGCCGUCGGCGUCGCAUCCUCGUCGUGCGCCCACGAGCGCCCCGCGGCGCCUCCUGGCCACGGCUGCUGAAACUCAUCCGCGGGAGGGGCUCUCCGUGGUGGCCGGCGAGACGAGGGCGAGGGCGACGACGACGCGGCUCUACUCGCUGGCGCCGUGCCCGGUGCUGCUGGCGGCGCUGCUGCCGGGGGCGGAGCCCAUCAGCGCGGCGUUCGAGCCCUUCGUGGAGCUGGUCAGGACCUUCAGCCUCCCCGACUGGCUCGUGCACUGGGGACACCCCGGCAACAUGGCCGUGGUGCUGUUCGCAAUGGGUGGGUACGGGACAUACCUGGGAUUCAGGAUCAAGCUGUCUGACGACCCUGAGGAGAAGGCCAAGGCCAAGGACCUCCACCCCAAGCUCCUCGGCGGCAUGUUCUUCUUCUUCGCCCUCGGUGCCACCGGCGGGGUCACCGCCCUCCUCACCUCCGGCAAACCAAUCCUCGAAAGCCCUCACGCGGUAACCGGUGUCAUUGGCCUUGCACUCCUGACCGUGCAGUCUCUCCUGCCAACAUUGUUUGAGGGAAACCCUGGGCUGAGAGGCGCGCACGGCCUACUCGGCAGCAGCAUCAUGACGCUCUUCCUUUUCCACGCCGCGUUUGGGCUGCAGCUCGGCCUCAGUUUUUAGUUUGGGGUUUGUUUCUGUGGUUGUUUAGAAGAAGUAAAUUCAUCUCCCACAAUUUCUCCUUGUCUUUGUUAGCUACUAGUAGUACUGUCAAGAAAACGAUAUCCCAACUUACAUACGUGCAGGUAUGCAUCACAACAUAAUUUCUUUCCAGAACCAUGGAUUACAAUGUGUAUGAUCUUUUUUACAACCGUCAGGGGGUUUGUGUAAACAGAAACAAAAGUAAUAGAGAUAUUUUUUACAACCGUGAGGGGGUUUGUGUAAACAAAAACAGAAGUAAUAGAGACAUAAGCUGUUGUUACUUUUGUUUCGUAUAAAUAUAGAACCCUGAUAAAUCCCGAUUGUUCGGAUUUUAAGC